AGAGUUUGAUCAUGGCUCAGAUUGAACGCUGGCGGCGUGCCUAACACAUGCAAGUCGUGCGAGAAAGUGGGCUUCGGCCCGCGAGUACAGCGGCGCACGGGUGAGUAACACGUGGGUGAUCUCCCUUACAGAUCGGGAUAACGGCGGGAAACUGCUGCUAAUACCGGAUACGAUCCAUUUAAUCGUGGAUGAAAGGCGGCCUCUGCUUGCAAGCUGCCACUGUGAGAUGAGCCCGCGUCCCAUUAGCUUGUUGGCGGGGUAAUGGCCCACCAAGGCUACGAUGGGUAGCUGGUCUGAGAGGAUGACCAGCCACACUGGGACUGAAACACGGCCCAGACUCCUACGGGAGGCAGCAGUGGGGAAUAUUGCGCAAUGGGCGAAAGCCUGACGCAGCGACGCCGUGUGAGGGAAGAAGGCCUUCGGGUCGUAAACCUCUGUCAGAAGGGAAGAACCCCCAAGGCUCGAACAGGGCCUUGGGCUGACGGUACCUUCAGAGGAAGCACCGGCUAAUUCCGUGCCAGCAGCCGCGGUAAUACGGAAGGUGCAAGCGUUAAUCGGAAUCACUGGGCGUAAAGCGCACGUAGGCGGCUACGUAAGUCGGAUGUGAAAGCCCUCGGCUCAACCGGGGAACUGCAUUCGAAACUGCGUGGCUGGAGUCCUGGAGAGGGUGGCGGAAUUCCCGGUGUAGGAGUGAAAUCCGUAGAUAUCGGGAGGAACACCAGUGGCGAAGGCGGCCACCUGGACAGGUACUGACGCUGAGGUGCGAAAGUGUGGGGAGCAAACAGGAUUAGAUACCCUGAUAGUCCACACCGUAAACGAUGGAUGCUAGGUGUCGGGGAGUACUCUUCGGCGCCGUAGUUAACGCGUUAAGCAUCCCGCCUGGGGAAGUACGGUCGCAAGGCUGAAACUUAAAUGAAUUGACGG
rnacentral:rRNA from 1 species